UACGUAGGGUGCAAGCGUUAAUCGGAAUUACUGGGCGUAAAGCGUGCGCAGGCGGUUCUAUAAGACAGAUGUGAAAUCCCCGGGCUCAACCUGGGAACUGCAUUUGUGACUGUAGAGCUGGAGUGCGGCAGAGGGGGAUGGAAUUCCGCGUGUAGCAGUGAAAUGCGUAGAGAUGCGGAGGAACACCGAUGGCGAAGGCAGCCCCCUGGGCUAGCACUGACGCUCAGGCACGAAAGCGUGGGGAGCAAACAGG
rnacentral:rRNA from 1 species